CAACUCAUCAACCCUGUGAACAUACCUAAAACGUUGCUUCGGCGGGAACAGACGGCCCCGUAAAACGGGCCGCCCCCGCCAGAGGACCCCUAACUCUGUUGCUAUAUGUAUCUUCUGAGUAAACAAGCAAAUAAAUUAAAACUUUCAACAACGGAUCUCUUGGCUCUGGCAUCGAUGAAGAACGCAGCGAAAUGCGAUAAGUAAUGUGAAUUGCAGAAUUCAGUGAAUCAUCGAAUCUUUGAACGCACAUUGCGCCCGCCAGUAUUCUGGCGGGCAUGCCUGUUCGAGCGUCAUUACAACCCUCAGGCCCCCGGGCCUGGCGUUGGGGAUCGGCGAGGCGCCCCCUGUGGGCACGCGCCGUCCCCCAAAUACAGUGGCGGUCCCGCCGCAGCUUCCAUUGCGUAGUAGCUAACACCUCGCAACUGGAGAGCGGCGCGGCCAUGCCGUAAAACACCCAACUUCUGAAUGUUGACCUCGAAUCAGGUAGGAAUACCCGCUGAACUUAAGCUAAUCAAUAAGCGGAGGAA
rnacentral:rRNA from 1 species